GAGUUUGAUCCUGGCUCAGAAUCAACGCUGGCGGCGUGCCUAACACAUGCAAGUCGAACGCGAAAGUGGAGCAAUCCAUGAGUAGAGUGGCAAACGGGUGAGUAACACGUGGGUGACCUGCCUUCGAGUGGGGGAUAACGUUCCGAAAGGGACGCUAAUACCGCAUAACAUCCUGUCUUUUAACAGAUGGACAUCAAAGCCUGGACCGCAAGGCCAGGCGCUUGAAGAGGGGCCCGCGCCUGAUUAGCUAGUUGUGGGUAAUGGCUCACCAAGGCAACGAUCAGUAUCCGGCCUGAGAGGGCGGACGGACACACUGGGACUGAGACACGGCCCAGACUCCUACGGGAGGCAGCAGUGGGGAAUUGUUCGCAAUGGGCGCAAGCCUGACGACGCAACGCCGCGUGGAGGAUGAAGAUCCUCGGGUCGUAAACUCCUUUCGAUCCGAGACGAAUGGCUUCCGGGUGAAC
rnacentral:rRNA from 1 species